rnacentral:rRNA from 1 species
GCAAGUCGAACGGUAUAUGGGGUUUCGGCCCUAUAGAGAGUGGCGAACGGGUGAGUAACACGUAGGAAUCUGCCUUUGGAUGGGGGAUAGCCCAUGGAAACAUGGAGUAAUACCGCAUGAAUCCUCGCAAGAGGUGAAAGGUGCUUUCGGGCAUCGUCUGGAGAUGAGCCUGCGGUCCAUUAGCUUGUUGGUGAGGUAAAGGCUCACCAAGGCGACGAUGGAUAGCCGGCCUGAGAGGGUGAAC